CAAAUGGGCGCAAGCCUGAUCCAGCCAUGCCGCGUGAGUGAAGAAGGCCUUCGGUUGUAAAGCUCUUUCAGACGGAAAGAAAUCGCGCGCUCUAACAUAGCGCGUGGAUGACGGUACCGUAAGAAGAAGCACCGGCUAACUACGUGCCAGCAGCCGCGGUAAUACGUAGGGUGCGAGCGUUAAUCGGAAUUACUGGGCGUAAAGCGUGCGCAGGCGGUGAUGUAAGACAGAUGUGAAAUCCCCGGGCUCAACCUGGGAACUGCGUUUGUGACUGCAUCACUCGAGUACGGCAGAGGGAGGUGGAAUUCCACGUGUAGCAGUGAAAUGCGUAGAGAUGUGGAGGAACACCGAUGGCGAAGGCAGCCUCCUGGGCCAGUACUGACGCUCAUGCACGAAAGCGUGGGGAGCAAACAGGAUUAGAUACCCUGGUAGUCCACGCCCUAAACGAUGUCAACUAGUUGUUCGGUGAGGAGACUCAUUGAGUAACGCAGCUAACGC
rnacentral:rRNA from 1 species